UCGAACUCAGAAAUCCGCCUGCCUCUG
rnacentral:piRNA from 1 species